CCUACGGGAGGCAGCAGUGCGGAAUAUUGAUCAAUGGACGAGAGUCUGAACCAGCCAAGUAGCGUGAAGGAUGACUGCCCUAUGGGUUGUAAACUUCUUUUAUAUGGGAAUAAAAUGUUCCACGUGUGGGAUUUUGUAUGUACCAUAUGAAUAAGGAUCGGCUAACUCCGUGCCAGCAGCCGCGGUAAUACGGAGGAUCCGAGCGUUAUCCGGAUUUAUUGGGUUUAAAGGGAGCGUAGGUGGAUUGUUAAGUCAGUUGUGAAAGUUUGCGGCUCAACCGUAAAAUUGCAGUUGAAACUGGCAGUCUUGAGUACAGUAGAGGUGGGCGGAAUUCGUGGUGUAGCGGUGAAAUGCUUAGAUAUUACGAAGAACUCCGAUUGCGAAGGCAGUUCACUGGACUGCAACUGACACUGAGGCUCGAAAGUGUGGGUAUCAAACAGGAUUAGAUACCCCAGUAGUC
rnacentral:rRNA from 1 species